CGAACGCUGGCGGCGUGCUUAACACAUGCAAGUCGAACGAGAAAUUUUCCGUUCGCGGAAAAGAGUAAAGUGGCGCACGGGUGAGUAACGCGUGGGUAACCUGCCCCUGAAUUCGGGAUAACCCGCCGAAAGGCGGACUAAUACCGGAUAUUGUCCUGAUGGCUGUGGCUAUUGGGAUGAAAAGUGACCUCUUCAUGAAAGUUGCUGUUCAGGGAGGGGCCCGCGUACCAUUAGCUUGUUGGUGGGGUAAUGGCCUACCAAGGCGACGAUGGUUAGCUGGUCUGAGAGGAUGAUCAGCCACACUGGCACUGAAACACGGGCCAGACUCCUACGGGAGGCAGCAGUGAGGAAUUUUGCGCAAUGGGGGAAACCCUGACGCAGCAACGCCGCGUGAGUGAAGAAGGCCUUCGGGUCGUAAAGCUCUGUCAAGUGGGAAAAAAAGCUUUCGAUUAAUAGUCGAGAGAACUGAUGGUACCACUAAAGGAAGCACCGGCUAACUCC
rnacentral:rRNA from 1 species